ensembl:lncRNA
AUCCCCAUACUGGUCCUUACUGGUGCCUAUUGGCCUUUACUGGUUCAUACUGGGCCUUACUGGUCAAGUAUGAGCAUCCCAUAGCCUCAGUACACCCAGUUCGGUACUACCAGUACCAGAAAUCCCCGUACUGGUCCUUACUGGUUCAUACUGGGCCUCACUGGUCCCUAUUGUCCAUUAUGGGUUUUUACUGGUCCUUACUGGUUCAGUACAAGCACUCCAUAGCCUCAGUACACCCAGUUCGGCGCCACAGCCCACAUACUGGUCCUUACUGGUUUAUACUGGUCCCUAUUGGCACUCACUGGUCCGUACUGGCCCUUACUGGUCCGUACUGGUCAAGUAUGGGCAUCCCAUAGCCUCAGUAGACCCGGUUCAGUACAACCAGUACCAGAGAUCCCCAUACUGGUCCCAGUACCACCAGAACGGGUGCCACAGACCCCUACUGGUCCCAGGACCACCAGUACUGGUGCCGGAGCCCCCGUACUGGUCCCAGUAUGAGCAGUACUGGUGCCGGAACCCCUGCACUGGUCCCAGUAUGGGCAGUAAUGAUGCUGGAGCUCCUGUACUGGUUCCAGUACCACCAGUACUGGUGCUGGCACUCCCAUACUGGUCCCAGCACCACCAGUACAGGUGCUGGGUCCCCCAUAAUGGUCCCAGUACAACCAGUAAUGGUGCCGGAACCCCCUGUACUGGUUCCAGUACCACCAGUACUGGUGCCGGGGCUCCUGUACUGGUCCCAGUACCACCAGUACGGGUGCUGGGUCCCACAUACUGGUCCCAGUACGAGCAGUACUGGUGCCGGAGCUCCCGUACAGGUCCCAGUACGGGCAGUACAGGUGCUGGGUCCCCCGUAAUGGUCCCAGUACCACCAGUACUGGUGCCGGAACCCCCGUACUGGCUCAAGUACCACCAGUACUGGUGCUGGCGCUCCUCUACUGGUCCCAGUAUCACCAGUACAGGUGCUGGGUCCCCCGUACUGGUCCCAGUACCACCAGUACUGGUGCCGGGGCCCCCGUACUGGUCCCAGUAUGGGCAGUAGAGGUGCCGGAGCUCCCGUACUGGUCCCAGUACGGGCAGUACAGGUGCCAGACCUCUUGUACUGGUCCCAGUACAGGCAUUACUGGUGCCGGAACCCUAGAACUGGUCCCAGUACCACCAGAACAGGUGCCGGGGCCCCCGUACUGGUCCCAGUACAGGCAGUACAGGUGCCGGGGCCCCCGUACUUGUCCCUGUACCACCAGUACUGGUGCCAGAGCUCCCGUACUGGUCCCAGUACCACCAGUACAGGUGCCGGAGCUCCCGUACUGGUCCCAGUACGGGCAGUACUGGUGCCGGAGCUCCCGUACUGGUCCCAGUACGGGCAGUAGAGGUGCCGGAGCUCCCGUACUGGUCCCAGUACCACCAGUACAGGUGCCGGGGCCCCCGUACUGGUCCCCGUACCACCAGUACUGGUGCCGGAGCUCCUGUACUGGUCCCAGUACGGGCAGUACAGGUGCUGGAGCUCCCAUACUGGUCCCAGUACGGGCAGUACUGGUGCCGGAGCUCCCGCACUGGGACCAGUACAGGCAGUACUGGUGCCGGAGCUCCCGUACUGGUCCCAGUACGGGCAGUACAGGUGCCGGGGCCCCCAUACUGGUCCCAGUACGGGCAGUACUGGUGCCGGGGCCCCCGUACUGGUCCCAGUACGGGCAGUACUGGUGCUGGGGCCCCUGUACUGGUCCCAGUACCACCAGUACAGGUGCCAGAGCUCCCGUACUGCUCCCAGUACAGGCAGUACUGUUGCCGGAGCUCCCAUACUGGUCCCAGUACCACCAGUACAGGUGCCGGAGCUCCCGUACUGGUCCCAGGACGGCCAGUACAGGUGCCGGAGCUCCCGUACUGGUCCCAGUACAGGCAGUACUGGUGCCGGAGCUCCCAUACUGGUCCCAGUACGGGCAGUAGAGGUGCCGGAGCUCCCGUACUGGUCCCAGUACCACCAGUACAGGUGCCGGGGCCCCCGUACUGGUCCCAGUAUGGGCAGUAGAGGUGCCGGAGCUCCUGUACUGGUCCCAGUACGGGCAGUACUGGUGCCGGGUCCCCCGUACUGGUCCCAGUAUGGGCAGUACAGGUGCCGGAGCUCCUGUAAUGGUCCCGGUACCACCAGAACAGGUGCCGGGGCCCCCGUACUGGUCCCAGUACAGGCAGUAGAGGUGCCGGAGCUCCCGUACUGGUCCCAGUACCACCAGUACAGGUGCAGGGACCCCGUACUGGUCCCAGUACGGGCAGUAGAGGUGCCGGAGCUCCCGUACUGGUCCCAGUACCACCAGUACAGGUGCCGGAGCUCCCGUGCUGGUCCCAGUACCACCAGUACAGGUGCCGGAGCUCCCGUGCUGGUCCCAGUACCACCCGUACAGGUGCCGGGACCCUGUACUGGUCCCAGUACCACCAGUACAGGUGCCGGAGCUCCUGUGCUGGUCCCGGUACCACCAGUACAGGUGCUGGGGCCCCUGUACUGUUCCCAGUACCAGUAGUACAGGGGCCGGGACCCCGUACUGGUCCCAGUACAGGCAGUACUGGUGCCAGGACCCCUGUACUGGUCCCAGUACAGGCAGUACAGGGGCCGGAGCUCCUGUACUGGUCCCAGUACCACCAGUGCAGGGGCCAGAGCCCCCGUACUGGUCCCAGUAUGGGCAGUACUAGCACUGGUGCUCCCGUACUGGUCCCAGUACCACCAGUGCAGGUGCCAGAUUCCCCGUACUGGUCCCAGUAUGGGCAGUACUGGUGCCGGGGCCCCCAUACUGGUCCCAGUACAGGCAGUACUGGUGCCACAGCCCCUCUACUGGUCUGUACUGGUCCAGUACCAGCAGCCUAUAGCCCCAGUACAUCCAGUUUAGUAUCUCCAGUUCCAGAGCCCUCAUACUGGUCCAUACUGGGCCAGUCCCAGCAACCAGUGCAUUUAAACUCAUCCAAUUACAACAAUCAAUUAGUGCAAUUAGUCCCUAGCAGCCUCUAAUUAACCCAGCUCAUUAAGUCCCCACACCAGCCUCGUUAAGCGCGAAGCGUUAAUUGCUUUGAAAAAGUCCAAAUUGGGGCAAAAGCCAAAUAAAUGUGGUUUGAGGACUGGGUUCA